GAUGAACGCUGGCGGCGUGCCUAAUACAUGCAAGUCGAGCGAACAGACGAGGAUCUUGCUCCUCUGACGUUAGCGGCGCACGGGUGUGUAACACGUGUAUAACCUACCUAUAAGACUGGGAUAACUUCGGGAAACCGGAGCUAAUACCGGAUAAUAUAUUGAACCGUAUGGUUCAAUAGUGAAAGACGGUUUUGCUGUCACUUAUAGAUGGUUCCCCGCUGGAUUAGCUAGUUGGUAAGGUAACGGCUUACCAAGGCAACGAUGCGUAGGCGACCUGAGAGGGGGAUCGGCCACACUGGAAGUGAGACGCGGUCCAGACUCCUACGGGAGGCAGCAGUAGGGUAUCUUCCGCAAUGGGCGGGAGCCUGGCGGAACAACGCCACGUGGGUGAUAAAAGUCUUCGGAUCGUGAUACUCUGUUAUUAGGGAAGAACAAAUGUGUAAGUUACUAUGCACGUCUUGACGGUACCUAAUCAGAAAGCCACGGCUAACUACGUG
rnacentral:rRNA from 1 species